rfam:Otolemur garnettii contig144870, whole genome shotgun sequence.
ACGGCCAAGGUGCUCCUUGGCCUCUCCAAACUCUCCUCCUGCACCCCAUCUUCCCCAGUUUCCCCCGUUACCCCCACCCCCCACC